CCACAUGGACGGAGUCUCUCAGGUUUAUUUAAUGGUUUAACAUCGUCCCAAAAUAAUUAACCGGCGAACGACCAAACAUCCAUCACGGCUACAGCUCCAUAUAUCAAACAGCCGACGCCGGCCUCGGCGUAGAGAGGCUGAACGGAGAGCGGAGCCACUGCUGAAGGAUUCUGAUCGAGUGAGGCCUCCCACUGGCAGGAGCUCAUUUCGUCUGGCUGGAAUUACAACAACCCCGCGUUGCCACGAAGAGAUGGAACUUGAACAGGCUCGCUGAUAGAGAUUAUCAGCUGUAAAUUAAGGUGAGAGGGUGGUGCAGCUGACACUCUGACCUGAGACUACAUCUGCCGUCCCCUCGAGGGGAACGAGCGCUCCCAGAUGGCAUCAUCGUAUCAUCGGAAAUCAUCGUGAUUGUUGACGAUCAGGCUCAUUUUCUCCAGUCAGUGAUUAAAUUAAA